UUGAAAAUAAACAGAGAGACUGUUAUAACAGCGCCGACGGGGAAAGCAUAAAGUAUGUGAAACUCUCAGGCAAAAGGAUGUUUAUGGGACG
rnacentral:ncRNA from 2 species